ACAGUGCAUAACAAUUUCCAACGAAAUAUCACUGUACCAUACAGAGGUGCGAGAUUUGUUGACACAUUAUUUUGUAACUAAAAGAUUUAGUCUAUUGUCUGCCAACAGAUGGAUUGUUAUUGUUGUGAAUUUCAGUGGUAAUAAAUACAGUUAUUUUUCCGUUGAAAUUCAAAAUUUACAUGUGAUCUAACAGCUUUCAACUUAAUAAUUUAAUUGUUUAUCAGCUGACGAAUUUUUCAAACAUUUGCCGCCUAACUCACGUCCAACAUAACGCGAUUUUGGCGGCAAUCCGUUUUGUCAUAGCUCACGAGAGGUUAAAAAAGAAAUCAGGUGUUAACAUCCAAAUUUUUUAGAAGUAAUUUUAUUGAUCAGUAUCUGAUACUAAAUGAAAUUUUGUGAAAAUUAUGUCAAGUGUUCUAUAAUAAUUUAGAAGCCAAAAUUUCAGAAUAAUAGUGUGCACUGUUGACGUUUUCAUUGUUUUUGCAAAAUCAUCAAAACAUUUUUGAUGCCGCUAUAUUAUUAAAAUACGCCGGUACUAAGCAAAAAAAAACACUUGUUGAAGUUAGCCAAUCAUAUUUCUUUUAGACUAUUAUUAUUAUGGAAACUCCUCCAUUUAAUCCAGAGCCAACAAACCGAAUUAUGACAAGGAGUGUAUUAGCUGAAAUACCCACUAGACUUGGACGUUUAUCUAUGACUGAUCCUAAUCAAGGUCGAACUGAUCACCAUGUCAAUAUUAUGAAU